rnacentral:lncRNA from 1 species
UUGAAAUCAAAAUUCUGAAUUGGAAGUUUUCGUUGCUGGGAAACGAGUUCCAAAAUUUUAAACCUUGGUUUUGGAAAAUUGUUAAGUCUUACAAUCUGAAGUUGGUUCGAAUCGCCGGACGACCGAACCGCCGCCGGAGGCUGAUGACACAGAGACAACGGCAGGUGAUUCGGGGCUCGCCGGUGUGCAGCGCCCGACCACCUGCCGGCAGCUGCGUCGUGGCUUCAAGCCGACACGCCGCUGCAUCUGUGGUAGCCCGCCAUCUCGGGCUUGGAGUCCGACGGUGAAAGGCGACGGCGAGGUGGCGAGACGGGUUGGCGCGCACCGGCGCGCGACGGGAAGACGAUUGCCGGUGGAGUUCUCGCGAGGCGGAGCUGCUCUGCCGAGGCGAGAACUCCUCUGCUUCCUUCUGUAAAGACGUCUCUCCUCGACGCUAGCUUGGACGCCAACGCAUCGGCGACCGGUGUGAAACCGUCCGGCGAGACCGUGGGAUGUCGUCGGCGUCGUGGCUUCGAGCAGCGGCGGCGUGACUCCGGGGCUUCGGGCAGGCUGACGGGAUUUGGAGGGAGGCGGCUGCUGCUGCACUUCUUUUUCCAAA